AUUGAACGCUGGCGGCAUGCCUUACACAUGCAAGUCGAACGGUAACAGGUCUUCGGAUGCUGACGAGUGGCGAACGGGUGAGUAAUACAUCGGAACGUGCCCGAUCGUGGGGGAUAACGAAGCGAAAGCUUUGCUAAUACCGCAUAAGAUCUACGGAUGAAAGCAGGGGCCCGCAAGGCCUUGCGCGAACGGACCGGCCGAUGGCAGAUUAGGUAGUUGGUGGGAUAAAAGCUUACCAAGCCGACGAUCUGUAGCUGGUCUGAGAGGACGACCAGCCACACUGGGACUGAGACACGGCCCAGACUCCUACGGGAGGCAGGAGUGGGGAAUUUUGGACAAUGGGCGAAAGCCUGAUCCAGCCAUGCCGCGUGCAGGAUGAAGGCCUUCGGGUUGUAAACUGCUUUUGUACGGAACGAAAAGACUCUUUCUAAUAAAGAGGGUCCAUGACGGUACCGUAAGAAUAAGCACCGGCUAACUACGUGCCAGCAGCCGCGGUAAAAC
rnacentral:rRNA from 1 species